rnacentral:lncRNA from 1 species
GCCAUGUGCAGUGCUGGCUCCCCCUUUGCCUUCCAACACGAUUGUAAAUUUCCUGAGGCCUCCACAGAAGAUAAGCAGAGCCAGCAUCAUGCUUCCUGUACAGCCAGUGAAAUCUCCUUGCUACUCAGAGUUGCUGACUAACCAGCAGCUUUGGCAUGACAGAGAAUCUUGAUAGAAGCAAAGAAUCUAGGGCCUCCUCCUACCUGCUGAACCAGAAUCUGAACCUUAAAAGACCUCGAGUGGAUCACGAGUUCAAGAGAUCGAGACCAUCCUGGCUAACACGGUGAAACCCCAUCUCUACUGAAAAUACAAAAAUUAGCCGG